AACGAACGCUGGCGGCAGGCCUAACACAUGCAAGUCGAACGCCGUAGCAAUACGGAGUGGCAGACGGGUGAGUAACGCGUGGGAACAUACCCUUCGGUUCGGAAUAACUCAGGGAAACUUGUGCUAAUACCGGAUACGUCCGAGGUAAAACUUGGAGAAAGAUUUAUCGCCGGAGGAUUGGCCCGCGUCUGAUUAGCUUGUUGGUGAGGUAAUGGCUCACCAAGGCGACGAUCAGAGCUGGUCUG
rnacentral:rRNA from 1 species